CAGUAGCCGCGGUAAGACAGAGGAUGCAAGCGUUAUCCGGAAUGAUUGGGCGUAAAGCGUCUGUAGGUGGCUUUUCAAGUCCGCCGUCAAAUCCCAGGGCUCAACCCUGGACAGGCGGUGGAAACUACCAAGCUGGAGUACGGUAGGGGCAGAGGGAAUUUCCGGUGGAGCGGUGAAAUGCGUAGAUAUCGGAAGGAACACCUGUGGCGAAAGCGGCUCACUGGACAAUUACUGACGCUGAUGCACGAAAGCUAGGGGAGCAAACAGGAUUAGAUACCCCUGUAGUCCCUGUCUCUUAUAC
rnacentral:rRNA from 1 species